GUUUAAUACCAGAUCUAGACUCUGCAAUUGCAUUUUUGCAGUCCAAGCUCUUGCGGGUUUGGAAUUUGCAUGCCCCUCUGUGUAAAGUGAGAAUAAAAGGGACACACCUACCGUGGGUUACAGCUGUUAAAAUGGACAACCAAACCCUUCAACAGCCCCUAGAUGUAGCAAAUGCCUUUAAUAAUUAUUUUGUUGGAAGUGCUACCACCCUGGUUGCUAAGAUAAUGAAUGACAUUCAUUUGCAGACCACAAAUAAAGUUCAGGCCUGGCUAAAUCUGCAAAAUCCUCAGAUAGAGAAAUAAAAUUUUAUACCUGUGCCUGUUAGUGUCAUUAAUAAACAUGUUAAUAAUUUAAAAAUGAAAAACCAGUGUGGACCGGA